rnacentral:rRNA from 1 species
CGCGCUAUCUGCAGUCGAGGGGCAGCACAGGUAGCAAUACUGGGUGGCGACCGGCAAACGGGUGCGGAACACGUACGCAACCUUCCUUUAAGCGGAGAAUAGCCCAGGGAAACUUGGAUUAAUACUCCAUAAGAUUAUGGUGUGGCAUCACACAGUAAUUAAAGCUCCGGCACUUAAAGAUGGGCGUGCGGCUGAUUAGGUAGUUGGCGGGGUAACGGCCCACCAAGCCAACGAUCAGUAACUGGUGUGAGAGCACGACCAGUCACACGGGCACUGAGACACGGGCCCGACUCCUACGGGAGGCAGCAGUAAGGAAUAUUGGUCAAUGGACGCAAGUCUGAACCAGCCAUGCCGCGUGGAGGAUGAAGGCCCUCUGGGUUGUAAACUUCUUUUAUUGGGGAAGAAACCCAUCUUUUCUAAGGUGGUUGACGGUACCAGAUGAAUAAGCACCGGCUAACUCCGUGCCAGCAGCCGCGGUAAUACGGAGGGUGCAAGCGUUAUCCGGAUUCACUGGGUUUAAAGGGUGCGUAGGUGGGCAGGUAAGUCAGUGGUGAAAUCUCCGGGCUUAACCCGGAAACUGCCGUUGAUACUAUCUGUCUUGAAUGUAGUGGAGGUGAGCGGAAUAUGUCAUGUAGCGGUGAAAUGCUUAGAUAUGACAUAGAACACCCAUUGCGAAGGCAGCUCGCUACACUAUUAUUGACACUGAGGCACGAAAGCGUGGGGAUCAAACAGGAUUAGAUACCCUGGUAGUCCACGCCCUAAACGAUGGAUACUCGACAUCAGCGAUACACAGUUGGUGUCUGAGCGAAAGCAUUAAGUAUCCCACCUGGGAAGUACGACCGCAAGGUUG